UUCAAGCCUUUCAGGGUUUGUGGCAAAUUGU
rnacentral:piRNA from 1 species